ncrna:unclassified sequences Type-P5 twister ribozyme ribozyme sequence
CGCAGAGUGACGGAGCGGGCAAGCCCCUCCGGUAAUGCGGCAUGCCGGUCACAAGCCCGG